rnacentral:rRNA from 1 species
ACAGCUCACUGGUCUAAUCAAGUUGUCCUGCGGCGAAGAUGUAACGGGGCUCAAGCCAUGAGCCGAAGCUUAGGAUGCCGUAAGGCAUGGUAGCAGAGCGUAGUGUGACAUGGUUUCUAUCCUCUUUGGUGUCCCUCGGGGCCCCAUGGAGGAGAAGAAAUCUUCGAUGAAGCCGGGGCGUGAGCGAUCCCGUGGAGAGAUCACUAGUGAGAAUGAUGACAUGAGUAGCGACAAAGAGUGUGAGAGACACUCUCGCCGAAAGUCCAAGGGUUCCUGCUUAAAGCUAAUCUGAGCAGGGUAAGCCGACCCCUAAGGCGAGGCCGAAAGGCGUAGUCGAUGGGAACCAGGUUAAUAUUCCUGGGCCAGAUGGAAGUGACGGAUCGCAGAGGUUGUUCGUUCUUAUCGGAUUGAACGGGCCGCUGACUGGUUCCUGGAAAUAGCUCCAUCAUGAGAUCGUACCCUAAACCGACACAGGUGGACUGGUAGAGAAUACCAAGGCGCUUG